GACUUUCAAGACUGCAGGAACGAAUCUGAGGUGAGGAGUAGUUAUGAUUUAAGUAAAGCAAAACGACGUAAUUGCCAUAAUAAUUCAUGUAGACUAAACAGUCUUUUUUAAAGAUGAAGAACAUAUUCAUUGUGGUAAUUCUCCUCAUUGCUCAAGUUUUCACAGUUUCAACUGCUCCCAUAGUUGGAGAACAGGCGAAUUGUGUUGAAGGCGAACCAUUGCAAGGCCAAAGUCAACCGGAUCUGAACAUUACCAUCCUACCAUCCCGGGAAAUACUUUCUCUGUGACCUCUGGGAAUCAUUUGUGAUGCAAAUGUGGCGCGUUUCCCGCCCAAAGCGUUGCCUGGUCCAGCACCUCCACCAGUGAAAAUUACGAUCCGUAUUGGAAUUUACACCGUAAAAGUAUGCACAAGUAACACUGGGAUCUACCAAUGUUCUUAUACUCUGUCAAGUUUCUUCCCGGGUCUACCACAACGAAUUAGUUGUACUACUUCAACCGAAGAUAAGCAAUGUCGCUUCAAGACAGCUAACAUUACCAUUCUACCACAGCCGCCAACAGCUGGAGUUACAACUACCAGCACACCAGGCGGAGAUAGCACUACCAGCACACCAGUUGCGACAACCACAGACCAGGUCAUCCCUCCAAUAUCAACAACAACCCCUAAACCCAGAAAGAAAGAUGAUGACGACGACAGUGAUGACAGUGAUGAUAGCGACAGCGAUGAUAGCGACAGCGAUGA